GACGAACCGUGCGAACGUUAUUCGGAAUCACUGGGCUUAAAGGGCGCGUAGGCGGGCCAGCAAGUCAGGGGUGAAAGCCUCCGGCUCAACCGGAGAAGUGCCUCUGAUACUGCGGGCCUCGAGGGAGGUAGGGGCGUGCGGAACUUCCGGUGGAGCGGUGAAAUGCGUAGAUAUCGGAAGGAACACCGGUGGCGAAAGCGGCGCGCUGGACCUCUUCUGACGCUGAGGCGCGAAAGCCAGGGGAGCAAACGGG
rnacentral:rRNA from 1 species